rnacentral:rRNA from 1 species
UUGAACGCUGGCGGCAGGCCUAACACAUGCAAGUCGAGCGGUAGCACAGAGAGCUUGCUCUCGGGUGACGAGCGGCGGACGGGUGAGUAAUGUCUGGGAAACUGCCUGAUGGAGGGGGAUAACUACUGGAAACGGUAGCUAAUACCGCAUAAUGUCGCAAGACCAAAGUGGGGGACCUUCGGGCCUCAUGCCAUCAGAUGUGCCCAGAUGGGAUUAGCUAGUAGGUGGGGUAACGGCUCACCUAGGCGACGAUCCCUAGCUGGUCUGAGAGGAUGACCAGCCACACUGGAACUGAGACACGGUCCAGACUCCUACGGGAGGCAGCAGUGGGGAAUAUUGCACAAUGGGCGCAAGCCUGAUGCAGCCAUGCCGCGUGUGUGAAGAAGGCCUUCGGGUUGUAAAGCACUUUCAGCGGGGAGGAAGGCGUUAAGGUUAAUAACCUUGGCGAUUGACGUUACCCGCAGAAGAAGCACCGGCUAACUCCGUGCCAGCAGCCGCGGUAAUACGGAGGGUGCAAUCGUUAAUCGGAAUUACUGGGCGUAAAGCGCACGCAGGCGGUCUGUCAAGUCGGAUGUGAAAUCCCCGGGCUCAACCUGGGAACUGCAUUCGAAACUGGCAGGCUAGAGUCUUGUAGAGGGGGGUAGAAUUCCAGGUGUAGCGGUGAAAUGCGUAGAGAUCUGGAGGAAUACCGGUGGCGAAGGCGGCCCCCUGGACAAAGACUGACGCUCAGGUGCGAAAGCGUGGGGAGCAAACAGGAUUAGAUACCCUGGUAGUCCACGCCGUAAACGAUGUCGAUUUGGAGGUUGUGCCCUUGAGGCGUGGCUUCCGGAGCUAACGCGUUAAAUCGACCGCCUGGGGAGUACGGCCGCAAGGUUAAAACUCAAAUGAAUUGACGGGGGCCCGCACAAGCGGUGGAGCAUGUGGUUUAAUUCGAUGCAACGCGAAGAACCUUACCUGGUCUUGACAUCCACAGAACUUUCCAGAGAUGGAUUGGUGCCUUCGGGAACUGUGAGACAGGUGCUGCAUGGCUGUCGUCAGCUCGUGUUGUGAAAUGUUGGGUUAAGUCCCGCAACGAGCGCAACCCUUAUCCUUUGUUGCCAGCGGUCCGGCCGGGAACUCAAAGGAGACUGCCAGUGAUAAACUGGAGGAAGGUGGGGAUGACGUCAAGUCAUCAUGGCCCUUACGACCAGGGCUACACACGUGCUACAAUGGCAUAUACAAAGAGAAGCGACCUCGCGAGAGCAAGCGGACCUCAUAAAGUAUGUCGUAGUCCGGAUUGGAGUCUGCAACUCGACUCCAUGAAGUCGGAAUCGCUAGUAAUCGUAGAUCAGAAUGCUACGGUGAAUACGUUCCCGGGCCUUGUACACACCGCCCGUCACACCAUGGGAGUGGGUUGCAAAAGAAGUAGGUAGCUUAACCUUCGGGAGGGCGCUUACCACUUUGUGAUUCAUGACUGGGGUG